rnacentral:tRNA from 1 species
GCCCGGGUGGCGAAACUGGCAGACGCGGGGGGCUUAAACCCCCCUUCCACGAACGUGGAGUACGGGUUCAAAUCCCGUCCCGGGCACCA